rnacentral:rRNA from 1 species
ACUCCUACGGGAGGCAGCAGUGGGGAAUAUUGCACAAUGGGCGCAAGCCUGACUGCAGCCAUGCCGCGCUGUAUGAAGAAGGCCAAUUCGGGCUUGGUUAAAGAUACUUUCAGCAGUGAGGAAGGUGGAGUCGUUAAUAGCGGCCUCAUUUGACGUUAGCUGCAGAAGAAGCACCGGCUAACUCCGUGCCAGCAGCCGCGGUAAUACGGAGGGUGCGAGCGUUAAUCGGAAUUACUGGGCGUAAAGCGCAUGCAGGUGGUUUGUUAAGUCAGAUGUGAAAG